rnacentral:misc_RNA from 1 species
AUUAGAGUGUCACAUCGAUGAAUGUGUAUAUUAGCUGUGAUAUGUGAUCAUAUUAAUUUGAAGAACAUAAAAUUGAAAUUUAUUACGUACCAUACAGAUACCAACACCCUUUUUGUUAUAGGUACACAACUGUCCAGGGUAGAUGCGGAUUCCCAUGCGGUUCUGACAAUCUGCAUUGUUCAGAAGAUUUACGGUUGUCGUUUAUACGUUCAUUAUUACAAUCAAUUGGAAUAAAGUAUUUUAAUGUGUAUUAUAUACAACUAUUUAUAUAGUAUAAAAGAAAAAGAGCAAGCGAGUGAGUGAGUGAGAGAGAGAGAAAUAAAGUAACAAAGAGUGCGUGUGCUGAAACGUAAUAAUGACUACUGAUUUGAAUGACUAUACAGGAAG